UACGUAGGUGGCAAGUGUUGUCCGGAUUUACUGGGUGUAAAGGGCGUGUAGCCGGGGAGACAAGUCAGAUGUGAAAUCUGGAGGCUCAACCUCCAAACUGCAUUUGAAACUGUUUCUCUUGAGUAUCGGAGAGGUAAUCGGAAUUCCUAGUGUAGCGGUGAAAUGCGUAGAUAUUAGGAAGAACACCAGUGGCGAAGGCGGAUUACUGGACGACAACUGACGGUGAGGCGCGAAAGCGUGGGGAGCAAACAGG
rnacentral:rRNA from 1 species